UGGGGAAUAUUGGACAAUGGGGGCAACCCUGAUCCAGCCAUGCCGCGUGUGUGAAGAAGGCCUUUUGGUUGUAAAGCACUUUAAGCAUGGAGGAGAGGCUAAUGGUUAAUACCCAUUAGAUUAGACGUUACCUGCAGAAUAAGCACCGGCUAACUCUGUGCCAGCAGCCGCGGUAAUACAGAGGGUGCGAGCGUUAAUCGGAAUUACUGGGCGUAAAGCGAGUGUAGGUGGCUCAUUAAGUCACAUGUGAAAUCCCCGGGCUUAACCUGGGAACUGCAUGUGAUACUGGUGGUGCUAGAAUAUGUGAGAGGGAAGUAGAAUUCCAGGUGUAGCGGUGAAAUGCGUAGAGAUCUGGAGGAAUACCGAUGGCGAAGGCAGCUUCCUGGCAUAAUAUUGACACUGAGAUUCGAAAGCGUGGGUAGCAAACAGG
rnacentral:rRNA from 1 species